rnacentral:rRNA from 1 species
AGAGUUUGAUCCUGGCUCAGAUUGAACGCUGGCGGCAUGCCUUACACAUGCAAGUCGAACGGCAGCACGGGUGCUUGCACCUGGUGGCGAGUGGCGAACGGGUGAGUAAUAUAUCGGAACGUACCCUUAUCGUGGGGGAUAACGCAGCGAAAGCUGCGCUAAUACCGCAUACGCCCUGAGGGGGAAAGCGGGGGACCGUAAGGCCUCGCGCGAUUAGAGCGGCCGAUAUCUGAUUAGCUUGUUGGUGGGGUAAAAGCCCACCAAGGCGACGAUCAGUAGCUGGUCUGAGAGGACGAUCAGCCACACUGGGACUGAGACACGGCCCAGACUCCUACGGGAGGCAGCAGUGGGGAAUUUUGGACAAUGGGGGCAACCCUGAUCCAGCAAUGCCGCGUGAGUGAAGAAGGCCUUCGGGUUGUAAAGCUCUUUUGUCAGGGAAGAAACAGCAGCUCUAACACAGUCUGCGAAUGACGGUACCUGAAGAAUAAGCACCGGCUAACUACGUGCCAGCAGCCGCGGUAAUACGUAGGGUGCAAGCGUUAAUCGGAAUUACUGGGCGUAAAGCGUGCGCAGGCGGUUAUACAAGACAGGCGUGAAAUCCCCGGG